rnacentral:lncRNA from 1 species
AAGCGACUGGAAACACGCUCCGUGCGGGGCUCUCGGAAUGUGUUUACUCGCACCCUUGGGGCUAUCGCUCCCCACCACGUCUGCAAGUCCGGCGAAGUUCCCGAACCCGCCCGCCAAGCGCGAGUCACCGCGCUGCUCUUCUGUCCGUGCGCCCCGUUUCGUGAUUCAGCAUCCGCGCCCCGAACCGCUCCCUCCGCACCCGCCGCUCCGACCCCGGCAGGGAGGCAAGGAAGGAAGGAGGGAGGGAAAGAGGGAGGGACGGCCGGGCUGGGGCCCCGCGGGGGCGGCUCAGGGGUGCCCUUGGGGCGGUGCCCGGCGCGGGGGCCCGGGGCCGGCGGCCGCGCUCCGCUGGAGCCGCUCCCGCCGCGGGCAGCGGAGCGCGCCGGGGCAGCGCCCGGGAGGAAAGUCCGGGGGCGCGGCCGCUUCCUCGCCCCGUGGCCGGACUUGUCUCCGGCUGCGAGGCCGCGGCGCUCCCUCGCCUCCCCUCGGAGCCCGAGUCGCCGCUGGCCUCCGGGACACGUUAAAUCCCGUGUAAUGAGGCUUAACCCCGCCCCGCAGCCGGGCGGGCAGGCAGCCAGCCAGCCGGGCCCCUGCCCGGGGAGACCCCCCCGCUCCGAGCGCCCGCAGCUGUUCCAGCCGGAGCUGCUGGAAAGCGGCCACGCUCCCCAGACUUUGUCUCCCUCGCACACAGCGCUGAACUCUGCUCCCUCCCUCCUUCCCAUCCCCCGGGGCGCCCGCGGCUCCCCCCGCCUCCACCGCCCCGAGCCGCAGACGCGCGGCGGGGGGAAGGGGGAGCGCUCUCGCCGCCGGGCUCCAGCCGCCUCCCCGGGGGCUCCGCGGGGCUCGGGGGGAAGCGAGCGCCGCCGGGGUGGGCACCGAGCGCUGCUCCCGGAGCCGCGUCCUGCGGAGCGCAGCCCGUGUGCGGAGAGCGACGGGGCUAUCCGCCGCGGAGCGGCCGCUCGCUUCCAGAAGGGGCUUUUCCUUUUCCACGGGGGAAAUAAAUAA